rnacentral:rRNA from 1 species
UCGACUGCAUGAAGUCGGAAUCGCUAGUAAUCGCGGAUCAGCAUGCCGCGGUGAAUACGUUCCCGGGUCUUGUACACACCGCCCGUCAAACAAUGGGAGUGGUGUUUACCAGAAGUCGUUAGCCUAACCGCAAGGAGGGCGGCGACCACGGUGAGCACCGUGACUAAUGUUAAGUCGUAACAAGGUAAC